rnacentral:lncRNA from 1 species
UGUCAGAGGAAGGGGAUUGUGAUGAGAGGAAAGGCCAGGGGACUGGGACACUUUUUCCUUUGUGAUUAUAAAAUUGAACAGACAAGGUUGCUUCAAGCUAGGAAGUUGCUGCUGGAAGUAUUUAGCUUUGCUGGGGCUGGGGGGCUUGACACCCACAGCCUUAUACUCCUUCCUGAGUUUCAUCCCAUCUCACAGGUUCUCCCCAACUUCAUGGCCUUUGCCUAUCUAGGAGCCUCAGACACAUAGGCUAGACAAAGGCCUCAUCCACAUGAUGCGCAGGUAUGGGUCUAGCUCCUGCAUGAGCUCAACAUCUGGGCCUGUCUGAGCUGCACAGCUGAAGAAAGAGACAAGAUGUCUAUAGCCUCACCCACUUGGUAAGAGUUGGACUUUACAAUGGAUGCCCUUUCUUGCACUCCAGAGUAGUUAGAGGUAAAAAACAAGCAAUAUCUGCUGUGGGCUCUUGGCUUUUCUGUGGGUCCCUCCAUACACUACCAGGAACUGCUUCCUUUUUCCUUCCUGCAGAGGAAUCAGGCAUGGCUGAGAAAGACAUUCGAGUUGUGCAGGUGGUGAUGAUUUGUGCUUUAGAGGAUGGAGGAGGCCUGCAGGGAAGGCGGAGCUGCGGGGAACACUCUCUAGGAGGGAGAGUAACAUGCCUACAAACACCUGGGAAGGUGAGGGCUGCCUCUCCUGCUUGGGCUGGACCUGGGACCAGCUCUCAGAGAUGGGAUUGGAGGGGCAGAAGAAAUGCCCCCAGAAAGAGGGAGGAAGCAGCAUGUUGGCAUCCUUCUCUCUCAGCUCUGGAAUGGGUUCUUCCUAAGCACAAAUGUUGUGUUCAGGGACACUCAGCCCACACUCAGCUGGUGACCCUUUAAUGUCCAAGCAUCCACAGGCAGGCACUGGCUGCCAUGGCUGUUUCCCCAUUGCCUCCUCAUGACUUCUGCCUCCUCCUCAGGAACCAGCUAGAUGUCAGGGCCGGGAGAGGUGUUAGACCCUCUAGGAAAAGAAAGCAGAGCCAGGCUGGCACGUUCUCUCUGAGACGACAAGAGUCCCCAUCCCCUUGUGAUGUCAUCAUCCUAUCCCGUUGUUCUGAAAUGAUGAAUUCCACAAAGGAAUUCCUAUCCAUGGCCCCUGCUUGGAACUAGACAGGAACAUUCCUCCAGCCUCCAUCAUCCUCCCCUUCCCCUACUCUGAGGAAUCUUCUCACCUUUCAUUAGACUCUAAGUUCCUUGGAGAGUCAGUACUCACGGGGAGUACUUUUAGGAUCAACACUUGUGGACGGGAGAAGAUGGAAGCAGGACUGGGUAGAAGAAGAAGCUGGGCUGCAAUGAAGUCCCAUUGAAGACCUCAGCUGACCUUGCAUGGAGCCUGGUACUAGGAUAUUCCUCCAGAGUUGCUCUGAGUUAGGAUAAGAGAGCUGGGCCUUUAUACGACUAGGUUGAUGAGUCCAAUGAGAUGUGGUUUGUUACCAGAUACGACCUAAGCAAGGGCACUCCCUUCAGCUGAGACAAUCGCAAAUAGAGCUGAUGCUGAGGACCAUCUCCACAGCCAGGUGCCUCUCAGCAUCCAUUACACAAUUCAUGGGAACAACUUGUUCCUGUGAAGACUUGGGCUCAGGACAUUAUUCACUCACUCAUAGUCAGGUCCUCAAAGCUAUCCCAGCUCACCCACAUAACCCAAAGUUUUCUGAUCCCACUUGGUCUGACCUGGAUUUUACUAAUGGGAAAAGUUUAGGGUGAGCAUCACGGGGGAUUGAGAAGCCACUUCCUCUGGGAUCUGAGUGCCUAGAUCUGGGGUGAGCUCUGGUAGUGGACAGAGGAAGGACGAGAGGAAAGGAAACCUCAGGCUUUUGAAGUGAGAUAAAACUUUGGAAUAUCAACAAAGUCUCCCUACCGCACAUUUCCUUGCAUUGUUCCCCACGGGGUACAAGAGGCAAAUAAAACCUAGCUGAGGACAAGACGUUAAUUUUUUCUAAUAGACUUAAUUUUUUAAGGACAGCUUUAGAUUUACAGAAAAAUUGAGCCCUAUCAUUAGCAUCUUACAUUGAUAUGAUACAUUAUUAUAAUCAAUGAACCAAUAUUGAUACAUUAUGAUUAAUCAAAGUUCAUAGUUUAUUUAGAUCUUUUCUUUUUACCUAAUGUCGUUUUUCUCUUCCAGCAUCCCAUCCAGGAUACCUGUUACAUUUACUUGUCAUAUCUCCUCAAGCUUCUCUUGGCUAUGACAGUUUUUUAGACUUUCCUUGAUUUUGAUGACCUUGACAGUUUUGAGGAGUUCUGGGCCCGAUGUUGCAGAAUGCCUCCUUAUUGAAAUUUGUCUGAUGUUUUCCUCAUGAUUAGAUUGGGGUUGUGAGUUUUGGGGGGAAGGUAAUAGAGGAAAAGUGUCAUCUUCAUCACAUCAUAUUAAAGGUACAUAUUAGUGACAUGA